ACAAGUAGCGGAGCAUGUGGUUUAAUUCGAAGCAACGCGAAGAACCUUACCUAAGCUUGACAUCUCAAUGACAUCUCCUUAAUCGGAGAGUUCCCUUCGGGGACAUUGGUGACAGGUGGUGCAUGGUUGUCGUCAGCUCGUGUCGUGAGAUGUUGGGUUAAGUCCCGCAACGAGCGCAACCCUUGUCUUUAGUUGCCAUCAUUAAGUUGGGCACUCU
rnacentral:rRNA from 1 species